GAUGAACGCUGGCGGUCUGCUUAACACAUGCAAGUCGAACGGAACUCUUCGGAUUUAGUGGCGGACGGGUGAGUAACGCGUGAGAAUCUGCCUUCAGGUUGGGGACAACAGUUGGAAACGACUGCUAAUACCCAAUGUGCCGAGAGGUGAAAGCUUUAGUGCCUGAGGAUGAGCUCGCGUCUGAUUAGCUAGUUGGAGUGGUAAUGGCACACCAAGGCGACGAUCAGUAGCUGGUCUGAGAGGAUGAUCAGCCACACUGGGACUGAGACACGGCCCAGACUCCUACGGGAGGCAGCAGUGGGGAAUUUUCCGCAAUGGGCGCAAGCCUGACGGAGCAAGACCGCGUGAGGGAGGAAGGCUCUUGGGUUGUAAACCUCUUUUAUCAGGGAAGAAGAUCUGACGGUACCUGAUGAAUCAGCAUCGGCUAACUCCGUGCCAGCAGCCGCGGUAAUACGGAGGAUGCAAGCGUUAUCCGGAUUUAUUGGGCGUAAAGCGUCCGCAGGUGGUUUUACAAGUCUGCUGUUAAAGCGCGAGGCUUAACCUCGUACAGGCAGUGGAAACUGUGAGACUAGAGUAUGGUAGGGGUAGCGGGAAUUCCCAGUGUAGCGGUGAAAUGCGUAGAUAUUGGGAAGAACACCAGCGGCGAAAACGCGCUACUGGGCCAUUACUGACACUCAUGGACGAAAGCUAGGGGAGCGAAAGGGAUUAGAUACCCCUGUAGUCCUAGCUGUAAACGAUGGAUACUAGGUGUUGCCCG
rnacentral:rRNA from 1 species